rnacentral:rRNA from 1 species
AUUGAACGCUGGCGGCAUGCCUUACACAUGCAAGUCGAACGGCAGCACGGACUUCGGUCUGGUGGCGAGUGGCGAACGGGUGAGUAAUGCAUCGGAACGUGCCAUUGAGUGGGGGAUAACGUAGCGAAAGUUGCGCUAAUACCGCAUAUUCUGUGAGCAGGAAAGCAGGGGACCGCAAGGCCUUGCGCUCUUUGAGCGGCCGAUGUCAGAUUAGCUAGUUGGUGAGGUAAAGGCUUACCAAGGCGACGAUCUGUAGCGGGUCUGAGAGGAUGAUCCGCCACACUGGAACUGAGACACGGUCCAGACUCCUACGGGAGGCAGCAGUGGGGAAUUUUGGGACAAUGGGGGCAACCCUGAUCCAGCCAUGCCGCGUGAGUG